rnacentral:rRNA from 1 species
UACGUAGGGUGCAAGCGUUGUCCGGAAUUAUUGGGCGUAAAGAGCUCGUAGGCGGUCUGUCGCGUCGGCUGUGAAAACCCGGAGCUCAACUCCGGGCCUGCAGUCGAUACGGGCAAACUAGAGUAUUGCAGGGGAGACUGGAAUUCCUGGUGUAGCGGUGAAAUGCGCAGAUAUCAGGAGGAACACCGGUGGCGAAGGCGGGUCUCUGGGCAAUAACUGACGCUGAGGAGCGAAAGCGUGGGGAGCGAACAGG